rnacentral:rRNA from 1 species
CUCAUGCAGUCGAGCGGAGGAUUAAGUUGUUUACAUCGCGAAUCCUUAGCGGCGGACGGGUGAGUAACACGUGGGUAACCUGCCUCAAAGUGGGGGAUAGCCUUUCGAAAGGAAGAUUAAUACCGCAUAAGCCUCCGGUGCCGCAUGGCGCUGAAGGAAAAGGAGCAAUUCGCUUUGAGAUGGACCCGCGGCGCAUUAGCUAGUUGGUGAGGUAACGGCUCACCAAGGCCACGAUGCGUAGCCGACCUGAGAGGGUGAUCGGCCACAUUGGAACUGAGACACGGUCCAGACUCCUACGGGAGGCAGCAGUGGGGAAUAUUGCACAAUGGGCGAAAGCCUGAUGCAGCAACGCCGCGUGAGUGAUGAAGGCCUUCGGGUCGUAAAGCUCUUUGAUCAGGGAUGAUAAUGACAGUACCUGAAAAACAAGCCACGGGCUAACUACGUGCCCAGCAGCCGCGGGUAAUACGUA